CCCUGUGGCUCAGUUGGUAGAGCAUGGUGUUUGCAACGCCAGGGUUGUGGAUUCGCUUCCCAUAGGGG
rnacentral:tRNA from 1 species